rnacentral:rRNA from 1 species
UGGGGAAUAUUGGACAAUGGGGGAAACCCUGAUCCAGCCAUGCCGCGUGUGUGAAGAAGGCCCUCGGGUUGUAAAGCACUUUCAGCGAGGAAGAACGCCUAACGGUUAAUACCCGCUAGGAAAGACAUCACUCGCAGAAGAAGCACCGGCUAACUCCGUGCCAGCAGCCGCGGUAAUACGGAGGGUGCAAGCGUUAAUCGGAAUUACUGGGCGUAAAGCGCGCGUAGGUGGCUUGAUAAGCCGGUUGUGAAAGCCCCGGGCUCAACCUGGGAACGGCAUCCGGAACUGUCAAGCUAGAGUGCAGGAGAGGAAGGUAGAAUUCCCGGUGUAGCGGUGAAAUGCGUAGAGAUCGGGAGGAAUACCAGUGGCGAAGGCGGCCUUCUGGACUGACACUGACACUGAGGUGCGAAAGCGUGGGUAGCAAACAGGAUUAGAUACCCCCGUAGUCCCUGAGCGGGCUGGCAAGGCGCAU